UAAAAACCAGACGCACCCGCUCCUUCGUCCACUUCCUUCUGUCUUCUGCUCGAGAUGGAGGUGGACACAGAAACGACUUUAUGCAAAGAUGGGAGGAACACAAGCCCCCACCCUUUCCAUAAGAUCCUCAAAGAUGAGAAAUGAGACGGACUCUUGUGCAGGUUGAUGGUCACUGUUUGACUCGCUGCUCGUCAGAGCAACUUUAAACUUCACAGAGAUGGAAGUUCAACUUCAAGCCUCUGAUGUGCAAAGCUGCAUCAUCCUCCUCUGCCGUCGCUUGAGGAGGACGUCGCCGAUGCUGGAAGUCUCAUGAUGAUUCGCCGACUGUGCCAGCGACGUGAUGUGGGUGCUCCAGUUUGAGGUACAUGAUUGUGGACACCCAAAACGCUGCUGCUGCCGCCCCCAGAUGGGACUUGAACACAUCUGUGCAGGUCUGUUUGGUGUUGGCACAACCUGUCAAGUACACACUGCCCCUCAGAGUUGACCCAGAGUUGAGGUUCCUCAAAAGCAGCUGGCUGCGUUGGACUUCUUGCUCUAUACGCGACUCGACAUAAUCUGGUGCCAUGAUGAGCUGUAAUUCAAGUGUAGGAUCCUGAUCAACGUCCUGCUCCAUGUUGUGUUAAAAAAUUAAUGAAAAUUACACCAGUUCCUGUUUGUAUGCUUUUUCAGUGUAUGAAUAAAACUGAACUGAAUCAUA